UUCCGUCUUCUCCUCCCCGGCUCCCGCGCCCGAACCCCUCCCUUCAGGCCCCGCGCGAUUCCUCCCCCAGUUCUGUGCGGGCCAAGAUCCCGGCUAGCGCCGCUAUCAUUGGUUGGUUCCACGUUUGCCCGCCCCUCUUCCUCCUCCUUUUUCCGCCCCCUCCCUCCCGCGGAAGCUGGGGGCGCAUGCGUAGAGGCGGACGCUCCCCUCCCCCGCCCGGGGUAACUGAGGACUCCCGCGCGCGGGCUCUCUGCGCCCCACCCUCCCUUUCCCCGGGGCCGUCCGGAGAGCGGGGGCGAGCUUGAAAGUUCCAGAACGCUGCGCAACCAUGUCCAAGGGACCUGCAGUUGGUAUUGAUCUUGGCACCACCUACUCUUGUGUGGGUGUUUUCCAGCACGGAAAAGUCGAGAUAAUUGCCAAUGAUCAGGGAAACCGAACCACUCCAAGCUAUGUCGCCUUUACGGACACUGAACGGUUGAUCGGUGAUGCCGCAAAGAAUCAAGUUGCAAUGAACCCCACCAACACAGUUUUUGAUGCCAAACGUCUGAUUGGACGCAGAUUUGAUGACGCUGUUGUCCAGUCUGAUAUGAAACAUUGGCCCUUCAUGGUGGUGAAUGAUGCUGGCAGGCCCAAGGUCCAAGUAGAAUACAAGGGAGAGACCAAAAGCUUCUAUCCAGAGGAGGUAUCCUCUAUGGUUCUGACAAAGAUGAAGGAAAUUGCAGAAGCCUACCUUGGGAAGACUGUUACCAAUGCUGUGGUCACAGUGCCAGCUUACUUUAAUGACUCUCAGCGUCAGGCUACCAAAGAUGCUGGAACUAUUGCUGGUCUCAAUGUACUUAGAAUUAUUAAUGAGCCAACUGCUGCUGCUAUUGCUUACGGCUUAGACAAAAAGGUAUGUACCAUUUGUGAUGCAAAUCCAGAUUAUUUUAAGAUUAAUUUGAUCCAUCACGAAUUUAAAUGAUUGUUUUUAAUGGCAGGUUGGAGCAGAAAGAAACGUGCUCAUCUUUGACCUGGGAGGUGGCACUUUUGAUGUGUCAAUCCUCACUAUUGAGGAUGGAAUCUUUGAGGUCAAGUCUACAGCUGGAGACACCCACUUGGGUGGAGAAGAUUUUGACAACCGAAUGGUCAACCAUUUUAUUGCUGAGUUUAAGCGCAAGCAUAAGAAGGACAUCAGUGAGAACAAGAGAGCUGU
rnacentral:sRNA from 1 species